rnacentral:misc_RNA from 1 species
CUAAGGUAAUUAAGACAUCAAACCAGUUAGAUUUGAAUCCCUUCCAUUCCCGCUGAGAAUCAAUAUGGUGGAAACAUUGUUUUGCCUUGAUUUAACCUGCAUUCAAGUUUAGUAGACGUCGAAUAGCAAAAUCUUACUUAUAUGAUGCUGUCAAACGCACCGCUAAAAUUUCAAUGACUUGACUCUAUAAAUCGCCAAAUAGUUUCCUGGUACAAAAGGAACAGACGAGCUGCUUUUAACCUUUUAUAAGAUCCCUUCAUGGGCUUGAAUGAUAAUAAUGCACCCAUAGUUCACGGACUAGGAAAGUGUCGAGAAAAAGCUUGGACAUUUUUGGCGCGUCAAGGGACAUAAAGGAAUCCAACGGCAUAUUAACAAAUGUGGCGAGAGGGAAAGAAGAAGAAGAAGAAGAAGAAGAAGAAGAAGAAAAGAAUCUUUAAUCUAAAUGUUCUAGUUACAUAUCGAUCGACUGCCUUGUAAUUCCAUUAAUAAGUUCCCCAACGAUCUUUUGAGGAAUUUGGUUCUCUANUGGAGGGNUGGGUUAGAGAUCAUCAUCAUCCUCUUUUAUCCGAGGAGCUAUUGUCUUAUCUUUAUCAUGUCUAUCAAAAGUUAACAUUCUAUGGAUUUCCUGAAAAAUUAAUAUCAUAUAAUUCAAUCUCAUGUUGAUAUUGCUCCUACUCUUAUCUACGUUUCUUCAUUAUCUGACCUCUAACAGUACUGAUUUCCUGGAACAUAAUUAUCAUAUGAUGGAACCCUCGGACGGACUGACGGAACGACGGACUGACGGAACGACGGACGGAUGGACGGACUGAAAACAACUUAUUAAAAAUAUCUGAUCUGACAUCUGAGAUCUGACAUGUAAAACCAAGUGGAAUUGUUCCAACCAGAAAUUAGCAGGUGAAACUAAAAAAAGCCUUUUUAAUUAUUUAUUGAAUAUGGGAUUUAACUGAGGUCGAACAGAAUGAGGAGAAACAAUUUCCCUUUGUCUCAAUCUAAUUAUUGGUCACAACUUUCUGAUUUAGAAGAUGAACGGUUUUAUGCUGAACUUCUGCCUUAUCUUUUUUUUGAUCGGUCUUCAGAUGUAUGAUAAGUUUUCAGAUGGGUUCAAGUGGAUUUCACUACCUUCGCAGAGGACGAAAGUAGAUGUUGGUUCUAUCGUUCUCAUCAGGUGGUAUUACGAAUGUAAUGAAUAUGGUAUCUCUAACAUUCUUUACAACAAUAAAGAGAAGUUCUAUCGAUACGGAAGUAAACACAAUUAUACAGCAACAAAAAAUGUAGUUCCUCCUUUCUCUGUUAUUGGUGGAUCCAAUGUGACAAUUAUCAUCCCAGAUGUUGACAGAGACAAGAAUGGAUCAUAUUGCUGCUUCGUUCAUUGUGAUGGUGUUAAAAAUGAGACAUGCACAACUCUAGUCAUAUAUUUGAUGACUUACAUAUCUCGAAUUCAUUGAUCUACGUACCUCCUGCUUACUAAUAACGUUGCUUCGUCAAUCAAGUUAAACCAUUUUUUUUUAAUAGCAUGAAACAGACAUCGAUUUCUGAGAAUUGUAAAUGCCAGCAUGUACAAUUGUUCUGAGCAUGAACCAGACUAUGGCUUUAAAAUGCAAUAGCAUUUUGAGCCGUGGUAGAUUUUUCGUUGGCUAUCUAAGUGUCGUUUUUUUUGUGCUGUGCCUAUGGGCACAGUACAUUUGUUUUUGUUGAGUUAGGUAUGAUCGGAAUUUAGUGUUACGAAUGCCAUUGGUGGACCUCGUCAUGAUUGACAUUGGUGAAACACGAGGUGAAAAUGCAUGUUGAGAUCUGUAAGAUCGGGACACGGAGGA